rnacentral:rRNA from 1 species
UACAGAGGUCUCAAGCGUUGUUCGGAUUCAUUGGGCGUAAAGGGUGCGUAGGUGGCGCCGUAAGUCAGGUGUGAAAUCUCGGGGCUCAACCCCGAAACUGCACUUGAUACUGCGGUGCUCGAGUACUGGAGAGGAGAUUGGAAUUUACGGUGUAGCAGUGAAAUGCGUAGAUAUCAGGAGGAACACCGAUGGCGAAGGCAGGUCUCUGGGCAUUAACUGACGCUGAGGAGCGAAAGCAUGGGGAGCGAACAGG